AACGAACGCUGGCGGCAUGCCUAACACAUGCAAGUCGAACGAGACCUUCGGGUUUAGUGGCGCACGGGUGCGUAACGCGUGGGAACCUGCCCUUAGGUUCGGUAUAACUCCCCGAAAGGGGUGCUAAUACCGGAUAAUGUCUUCGGACCAAAGAUUUAUCGCCUUUGGAUGGGCCCGCGUUGGAUUAGCUAGUUGGUAGGGUAAAAGCCUACCAAGGCGACGAUCCAUAGCUGGUCUGAGAGGAUGAUCAGCCACACUGGGACUGAGACACGGCCCAGACUCCUACGGGAGGCAGCAGUGGGGAAUAUUGGACAAUGGGCGAAGGCCUGAUCCAGCAGUGCCGCGUGAGUGAUGAAGGCCUUAGGGUUGUAAAGCUCUUUUACCCGGGAUGAUAAUGACAGUACCGGGAGAAUAAGCUCCGGCUAACUCCGUG
rnacentral:rRNA from 1 species